UCGAUAGGGGUGCAGUACUUAUCAGUAUAUCUAAGGAGGCCGAAAGCCGAUGAAUUAGAUAGAAAGGAUUUACUGCCGAAGUGGUUAUGUCAAAAUAACUGCUGGGGUCAUAUUUAAGAGGUAUGACACUGUCUUUAUAGCUGCCGCUAUAAAGGAGCACUACUUGG
rnacentral:ncRNA from 1 species